AACGAACGCUGGCGGCGUGCUUAACACAUGCAAGUCGAGUGCGCGCCUGUAGCAAUACAGGUGGCGCACGGCGCACGGGUGCGUAACACGUGGGUAAUCUGCCCUUUGAUGGGGAAUAACUCGCCGAAAGGCGAGCUAAUUCCGCAUAAUAUUCCGGGAACUUAUGUUUCUGGACUGAAAGGCGUAAGUCGUCGGAGGAGGAGCCCGCGCACGAUUAGCUAGUUGGUAGGGUAAUGGCCUACCAAGGCUUUGAUCGUUAGCUGGUCUGAG
rnacentral:rRNA from 1 species